UUUUUAUUUCUGAAGUUUGUGACUUUGAGGCCUUAUCAGAUAAUUUUUCUUCAUGAAAAUGGUUGAUAAUUUAUAUUGAACAAAAUGUAAAGUUGGAAGCCAAAAAUGUGCAUGUUUUGGACCAUUUGUUACUUAAUUGCUGGAAAGGCCUCAGACUCUGAUGGAUUCUUGUUGUAUAUAUCAUCAUAUGACUAAUGCUGGCUUUGUUUUCUUGCUUUACAUAGGAAGACCCAAAUCUGUUUAUACGACCUAAGAAUGUAAGUUUUAUUUCAAUUGUUUUGCAUAUAUUGCAAAAUUUUAUAGCAAUAAUCAGUAGAGAAAAAAGAAGCAG
rnacentral:lncRNA from 1 species